rnacentral:misc_RNA from 1 species
AGGUGUUGGUUGGAGCCCCGGGAAAAAAAAAAUUUCCCCCCCGAGCUGGUGAAAGGCUAGCAAUGCCCACACGAUGCAUCGGCCAAUGCAUGUGAGCGUGUGGGCAUGUCCCGAUGAGGUCCCUUUUGAGUUUCCAACACCGAACAAACCACGUGGGGGCGUGGGAAUGGCUCUUGAUCACCCUAUUGGCACGGGCGAUCCUGGGCGACGGGUGGGCGAUGGAUGGGUGCUUGCUGGGUGAUACAUGGGCUGGUGAUUCAGCGUAUCAUCAUAGGAGAAUUCCUUACCAUCGUCCAUGGCACGUCACGAGAUGGCAUUGGAAAUAGGGGGAUGCGUUGGUUGAUGGCUUCUUGGACAAGAAAAUCCCCCCGAGCUGGUGAAAGGUCGGCAAAGACCCACACGUCUCCCUUGUAGUGCCUAAUGCAUGAGAGCGUGUGGGCAUGUCCCGAUGAGGCCCCAUUGAGAUCACAACAUCAUAUAGGGGCGGAGGGAUUGGCUCUCGAUCACCCUAUUGGCACGGGUGAUCGUGGGCGACGGGCUGGGCGACGGCUGAGCGCUCGCUGGGCGCUCGCUGGGCGCUCGCUGGGUGCUUGCUGGGCGCUCGCUGGGCGAUACAUGGGCCGGUGAUUCGGCGUAUCACCAUGAGAGAAUUCCUUGCCAUCAUCUAUGGCACGUCACGAGAUGUUGUUGGCUGAAUGGUUGGGCGCAUGGGCAUAGCUUGUGGGAGAUCCCCGGGCAAUUGGUGGGCAUUGGAUGGUUGGCGGAUAUCUUGUGAAUGUUUGAGAUCACCACGUGGAGCGUUGCUCGGGCUGGUGCCGAGCAGCCCCAAAUAUGUGAGUUGGGUACUUUUUGUGGACGGUUGUCAAUCCUCUCAUGCUUGGUAGCUAUGAAAUGAAGGGGGUUUACCAUGCCUCUCCCUUGUAUAACUUGCCCCGAUAUUAUCAGGCGACUGCGUUUGUCUCCCAUGCAGCAUCUUAGUCCGUAUAUCGCUCAUCCUAAUUACAUUCGUUUGUAAUACUGUGGCGCAGGUGGCCAAAGCGGGUGAUGGAAUAAGGUGUUGCAUGGGGGUACACUAUAGGUCUCCCAUGCAGCAUCUUAGUCCGUAUAUCGCUCAAUCCGGUUACAUUCGUUUGUAACGCUGCGGCGCUGGUGGCCAAAGCGGGCGACGGAAUAGGUUGUUGCAUGGGGGUACGCAUGGUCUUCCAUGCAGCAUCUUAGUUCGUAUAUUGCUCACCCCAGUUACAUUUGUUUGUAACGCUGCGGCGCUGGUGGCCAAAGCGAGCAAUGGAAAAAGUUGUUGCAUGGUGGAUCAUGUGUGCGUCUGCUCGCAUGCACCAUCUUAGGCCUUGAUUGCUCAGUCCGGUUACAUUCGUUUGUAACGCUGUGGCGCUGGUGGCCAAAGCGGGCGAUGGAAUAAGGUGUUGCAUGUGGGAAGGUCGUGGGCUGUUACUUUGAUGUUGGGGGUUCACCAUGCCUCUCUCCUGGAUAACCUUCCCGUUCCAUUCCACGCGGCCAUUUGACUUGUUUAAGGCGCUUCAUGUGCGAAAAAAACAUGGUCAUCUCAACGAGUGGUUUAGGAUAGGGGGUGUGAUGGGGGAGGAGUGUGUUGCUGCCCACUAUGCAUCAGCUUGGCCCGAUACUAUCAGGCGACCGUGUUAGUCUCCCAUGCAGCAUCUUAGUCCGUAUAUCGCUCAAUCCGGUUACAUUCGUUUGUAACGCUGCGGCGCUGGUGGCCAAAGCGGGGCGGUGGAAUAGGUUGUUGCAUGGGGGUGCGCAUGGUCUCCCAUGAAACAUCCAUCUUAGUCCGUAUAUCGCUCAUCUUGGUUACAUUCGUUUGUAACGCUGUGGCACUGGUGGCCAAAGCGGGCGAUGGAAUAAGGUGUUUCAUGGGGGAUCAUGCGUACGUCUGCUCCCAUGCACCAUUUUAGGCCUUGAUCGCUCAAAUCGGUUACAUUUUUGUUUGUAACGCUGCGGCGCUGGUGGCCAAAGCGGGCGAUGGAAUAAGGUGUUGCAUGGGGGAAAUCAUGGGCUGUUACUUUGAUGCGGGGGAACCUUCAGGAUAUUGCUACUAGAUUGCAUUUUGGGAAGACUACCGUGCCCAAUAACCCAGUUUGCACCCAUCCGGCUCCACGUAGUGCAAGCACAAAAUGUCCAUGAGAUGCCUGAUACUGUUCCGAAGCUUUUCAUAUUGGUUUGAAACUUUUGCCCCGAUAGUGUGUCCCGACUGUUGUAUCACCUGAUUUCGCGCACAGCGAGCGUUUUGAAUGGCGCCUCGUUCUACCAUAUGUAUUGCCCUUUGCGGGGUGAUGCACACAUGGGUGAGCGGGCAUUGUUCCCAACGCAACGUGUUGGCGUGUGAGUGGUAGUAGAGACACCUCUGCUUUUGGGCUCCGUGCUUUGCGCAUCGAACCAUAAGCACAUGUUUCCCUUAUUAGCAUCCGGCGUACUUGAUUGUAUACUGGCAAGUAAAAUGGUUCCUGUGUUGCCUACCCGUAGAAAUUGGAAAAUAUCAUUGCUAACGAGAUUCAUUGCCUUUAGCCGGCCAAAAGCUGGCCGAGGGCAACAUGUUAGUGUGGCUUGUGAAACCUACCGCGGCGUUUGCCCGCGUGUCUGGCUAGCAAGCUUGCACGUGCUUGGGGAUAUGGAAAACAUAGAUGGGUCAGGUUUCGAACUCGGCCGAUGCAAUUGUAGCUAAUUUUGUGACCGCCGGACCGUAAUGAUAAGUCCUACUCCCUGCGUGACCAGGUGUAGUUAGGCGCGGCACGGACAGUCGGCGACAUAAAGGAAUGC